CCUCGGGGGGCUGCAGUUUCGAAGAAUUCACAAUGGGCGAAAGCCUGAUGGUGCGACGCCGCGUGAGGGAUGAAGGUCUUCGGAUUGUAAACCUCUGUCACUGGGGAAGAAACGCUUUGAGUUAAUAGUUCAAAGCCUGACUUAACCCGGAGAGGAAGCAGUGGCUAACUCUGUGCCAGCAGCCGCGGUAAUACAGAGACUGCAAGCGUUAGUCGGAUUCACUGGGCGGAAAGGGUGCGCAGGCGGCCGUGAAAUCCCGGAGCUUAACUCCGGAACUGCGCCUCAAACUACACGGCUAGAGCAUUGGAGAGGGAAGUGGAAUUCACGGUGUAGCAGUGAAAUGCGUAGAUAUCGUGAGGAUCACCAGUGGCGAAGGCGACUUCCUGGACAAUUGCUGACGCUCAGGCACGAAAGCGUGGGGAGCAAAAGGGAUUAGAUACCCGAGUAGUC
rnacentral:rRNA from 1 species